AUGAACUCUAUAAGCUGGUUGAAGUAAAACUCACUGCACAAGACUUCUACUGUGAUUCUGAAGGCAACAGUAUGGUCUUGAUUCAUCUACCUCCGGAACUCAAGCAUUUGUACCGUCAUUGGGACACUGCCAUUCCACAUGUCCCUGUGACCAAGUUGAAAACAAUAUCAUGGAAUGAUCUUGGGCCUAUGGCAAAAGCAUGGGCCACUAUGGACGAAUCACAGCUACAGGAAAAUGGUGUUGUCAAAUAUCCAACAACUGACCACCUAAAAGCAUGGCCGCGUCAUUUCCUGGAGAAUGAGUUCCAAGAUUUAACCAUAGUGAAUGACUACGACCCAGAUACACCUCAUGACUGUUUUGAACAGAUGAAAAUGGAAACGACACAUCUACCAACUGUGCAUGAAGACCCAUUGGUAGAUCCCGAUCUCACCCUGUUUGUGGACGGCUCAAGAUAUGCUGAUGAAGAAGGAAGAUACCAUACAGGAUAUGCCGUAACCACAACAGAUGAAAUUGUCAAAUCAUCAUCUUUACCAUCAACUAUGUCUGCACAAGAAGCUGAAUUGCAAGCCCUGACUUCAGCAUGCAAGAUCUCUGAAGGAAAGCGCGCCAAUAUCUACACGGAUUCAAGAUAUGCACUGGGCGUGGCUCACGACUUCGGAUUAAUUUGGAAAACAAGAGGAUUUCUUACCACCGCCGGUACACCAAUCAAGCACGGUUCCGCAAUCAAGGAGCUGAUGGACGCCCUCCUACUCCCAGAAGAAGUGGCUAUUUUAAAGAUAAAAGCACAUGGGAAGUUGGACUCAGAUGAAGCAAAGGGCAACCAUCUAGCUGAUCAGGCUGCAAAACAAGCUGCAAAAGAACCACAGGAAGUGGAAAGAAGAGUGUCCGGAAAUGAAGAAACUCCCAUAUUUACUCUGCAGACUCUUCCAACUGACCUGAAAAUCCUGCUGGAACAACAGGCUACAGUUGCCCCUGAAGAAAUACAGAAGUGGAAACAGAAAGGGGCAGUUCUGAAGGAUGGAGUGUACUCCAACAACCUCAAUUUCUGCCUCCCUAAGAAUUUGUACCCAGCAGUCGUACAAUGGGCACACGGACCUGCACAUUUAUCAAAGGAUCUAAUGAAUGCUCUUGUACAAAAUGCUACCUCACUGUCCCCAUAUGAGAUUCUAUUUGGGACUGCACCUAGGCUAGGUUGCUAUUUUCCCCAACAACUACAACUUCAAACUGAUGUUUUAGUAGAUUAUGUAACUGAACUCGCAAAUGCUUUGAACAAAAUCCAUGCCCAAGUUUUCUCUUCAAUUCCAGAUCCUGAUUCUGACACAGGCAACCACAGUCUGCUCCCCGGUGACUGGGUUCUGGUCAAGAAAUUUGUGCGAAAACACAC